UACGUAGGGGGCUAGCGUUGUCCGGAAUCAUUGGGCGUAAAGCGCGUGUAGGCGGUCCGGUAAGUCCGCUGUGAAAGUCGGGGGCUCAACCCUCGAAAGCCGGUGGAUACUGUCGGGCUCGAGUACGGAAGAGGCGAGUGGAAUUCCUGGUGUAGCGGUGAAAUGCGCAGAUAUCAGGAGGAACACCAAUUGCGAAGGCAGCUCGCUGGGACGUUACUGACGCUGAGACGCGAAAGCGUGGGUAGCGAACAGG
rnacentral:rRNA from 1 species